rnacentral:lncRNA from 1 species
AAAAACAUUCUCAGCCAAAAACUCCUUUUUCCCAAAGUUCAAGGUAAGAAAACAUCUAACAUCCUCUUGGAGGUAAGUGGAAGAGAAGCGGCCGUCGGAGCCUUGACAGUCAGAAACCAAUGAAUGGAACAACCUGAGUGACGGACCCGACCCACGGAAGGUUGCCAAGCUGGAGAGUGAGGGACGGAAACAGAAACACGGCGUGAUGGGUGAGUGGGGGGGUCAAACGCUCUAGCGUUUGAGGAACAGCUUUUGAGGCGCCACUUCCCGGCGUGCAGUGAGCGGAAGGCGGGUCAGGACGGGAGCUGACUCCCGAGCAGGGGACACAGUGAAUCUGUGGCAUUUGGCCCCAAUCUCGGUGUUCACUGUGCACAUUCUCUACACUAGGUAUUUAUUUUUUCAUAUGUUUAAAAAAAAGUCUGCACACUUCAUUUCUGUCCAGUAAGAACUGAUAGAGAAUCAGGGAUUUGAAAGGGCCUAGUCUGGAAAUUUUCAAUGGGUGAAAAUAAGUGAGCAAAAUUACAUUCAUACUAAAGUGUAAUUCUUUCCAUCUGCUCCAUAGUGGGAUAGCCUCUUGAGGCAACUUCCAAUUACAGUGUCAUUUUAGAUGCUUUCCAUGGUGGCAGGUGGGUGAGGACUAGGGUCUGCAGCGAAGAAUAAUAAACACAGCUCUGGCCAUCCGUGGUGCUUCUAACACCAAGGACUACUCCAGUGGAAGAGUUCUCAUUUUGUUGGGAUGAAUAAAAUUAAAUAAAAGUACACAGUACCCAAUAAAGGACCAGAAAGCUUAAGCUUUGGUCAAGCAGAACAAAGGGCUAAUGAGAAAAGGACGAUGUAUUACAGUUUUCUUCUUUCAGUUCAAAACUAGGUUUUAUUAGCGGAGUUUCCCAAAAGAUUUGGACCAAAUUUCCAAUUCAGAUAUUAUUAGAGAUCAUCAAAACUCAAGUCUCUUUACUGGUUUACACCAAAUCACCCAGACUUCCAGCCCAAAACCCACAUGUUCACAUGGUUCCACAGUGCUGUUUAUGGACGAUAACCAAUUCUCGAAAUGGUAAUCCUGUUAGAAGCCAGAGCCCUCAGCCUCUAGCAUGUGUGCUUUGCACAGAGAUGAGUCUCAAAGUUUGGGGCUGGUGAGGAGCCCAGUGCACAGGAGUUCCACAUUAAGUCAUAAUUGGCUUUGUGUUGGACAGUGGAUGUCAGUUGGUGAAAUCAGGCACAGAAGAGGUAAGGGUUUCUGGUAAUAACAA